GCCCGCUCAGAACUUAAAGGAAGUGACGGGGCCGCACAAGCGGAGGAGCAUGUGGUUAAUUCGAUGAUACGCGAGGAACCUUACCUGGGCUCGAACGUAAGAUGACUGUAGGUGAAAGCUUACAUCUCUUCGGAGCAUUUACGAGGUGCUGCAUGGUUGUCGUCAGCUCGUGCCGUGAGGUGUCGGGUUAAGUCCCAUAACGAGCGCAACCCCUACCUUUAGUUGCCAUCAGGUAAUGCUGGGGACUCUAAAGGAACUGCCUACGCAAGUAGUGAGGAAGGCGGGGAUGACGUCAAAUCAGCACGGCCCUUACGUCCAGGGCUACACACGUGCUACAAUGGCCGAUACAGAGGGCAGCUACCUGGUGACAGGAUGCAAAUCUCCAAAGUCGGUCUCAGUUCGGAUCGGAGUCUGCAACCCGACUCCGUGAAGUUGGAUUCGCUAGUAAUCGCGCAUCAGCCAUGGCGCGGUGAAUACGUUCCCGGGCCUU
rnacentral:rRNA from 1 species